rnacentral:rRNA from 1 species
GUGAGGAAUAUUGGACAAUGGGGGAAACCCUGAUCCAGCCAUGCCGCGUGAGUGAUGAAGGCCUUCGGGUUGUAAAGCUCUUUCAGUGGGGACGAUAAUGACGGUACCCACAGAAGAAGCCCCGGCUAACUUCGUGCCAGCAGCCGCGGUAAUACGAAGGGGGCUAGCGUUGUUCGGAUUUACUGGGCGUAAAGCGCACGUAGGCGGAUCGUUAAGUCGAGGGUGAAAUCCUGGAGCUCAACUCCAGAACUGCCUUCGAUACUGGCGAUCUUGAGUCCGGAAGAGGUGAGUGGAACUCCUAGUGUAGAGGUGGAAUUCGUAGAUAUUAGGAAGAACACCAGUGGCGAAGGCGGCUCACUGGUCCGGUACUGACGCUGAGGUGCGAAAGCGUGGGGAGCAAACAGGAUUAGAAACCCGUGUAGUCC